CCUACGGGUGGCAGCAGUGAGGCAUAUUGGUCAAUGGACGAGCGUCUGAACCAGCCAAGUAGCGUGAAGGAUGACUGCCCUAUGGGUUGUAAACUUCUUUUAUAUGGGAAUAAAAUGUUCCACGUGUGGGAUUUUGUAUGUACCAUAUGACUAAGGAUCGGCUAACUCCGUGCCAGCAGCCGCGGUAAUACGGAGGAUCCGAGCGUUAUCCGGAUUUAUUGGGUUUAAAGGGAGCGUAGGUGGAUUGUUAAGUCAGUUGUGAAAGUUUGCGGCUCAACCGUAAAAUUGCAGUUGAAACUGGCAGUCUUGAGUACAGUAGAGGUGGGCGGAAUUCGUGGUGUAGCGGUGAAAUGCUUAGAUAUCACGAAGAACUCCGAUUGCGAAGGCAGUUCACUGGACUGCAACUGACACUGAGGCUCGAAAGUGUGGGUAUCAAACAGGAUUAGAUACCCUGGUAGUC
rnacentral:rRNA from 1 species